rnacentral:rRNA from 1 species
CCUACGGGUGGCAGCAGUGAGGAAUAUUGGUCAAUGGACGAGAGUCUGAACCAGCCAAGUAGCGUGAAGGAUGACUGCCCUAUGGGUUGUAAACUUCUUUUAUAUGGGAAUAAAAUGUUCCACGUGUGGGUUUUUGUAUGUACCAUAUGAAUAAGGAUCGGCUAACUCCGUGCCAGCAGCCGCGGUAAUACGGAGGAUCCGAGCGUUAUCCGGAUUUAUUGGGUUUAAAGGGAGCGUAGGUGGAUUGUUAAGUCAGUUGUGAAAGUUUGCGGCUCAACCGUAAAAUUGCAGUUGAAACUGGCAGUCUUGAGUACAGUAGAGGUGGGCGGAAUUCGUGGUGUAGCGGUGAAAUGCUUAGAUAGCACGAAGAACUCCGAUUGCGAAGGCAGCUCACUGGACUGCAACGGACACUGAGGCUCGAAAGUGUGGGUAUCAAACAGGAUUAGAUACCCCUGUAGUC